rnacentral:rRNA from 1 species
GAUGAACGCUGGCGGCGUGCCUAAUACAUGCAAGUCGAGCGAACUGUUUAGAAGCUUGCUUCUAUGACGUUAGCGGCGGACGGGUGAGUAACACGUGGGCAACCUGCCUGUAAGACUGGGAUAACUUCGGGAAACCGAAGCUAAUACCGGAUAGGAUCUUCUCCUUCAUGGGAGAUGAUUGAAAGAUGGUUUCGGCUAUCACUUACAGAUGGGCCCGCGGUGCAUUAGCUAGUUGGUGAGGUAACGGCUCACCAAGGCAACGAUGCAUAGCCGACCUGAGAGGGUGAUCGGCCACACUGGGACUGAGACACGGCCCAGACUCCUACGGGAGGCAGCAGUAGGGAAUCUUCCGCAAUGGACGAAAGUCUGACGGAGCAACGCCGCGUGAGUGAUGAAGGCUUUCGGGUCGUAAAACUCUGUUGUUAGGGAAGAACAAGUACAAGAGUAACUGCUUGUACCUUGACGGUACCUAACCAGAAAGCCACGGCUAACUACGUGCCAGCAGCCGCAGUAACAC